UUUUUUUUUCUUUCACCCAUCCCUUCCUUUAGUUAUCAUUUCUUUAUUUUAUUACAUCCUCCAUACUAAUAUGACACCUAGUUAAUUAAAGUUAAUAUAAAAUUCACACUUGAUUAUACAAUUUGUAGCAUGGCUGGCCACUGCCUAUAGUUUGGCUAAUUUGACAUGCAAGGACAAGCACUUUCCUACAUAUAUUAAUAGGCCACUUUAGCACUUGCCUAGCAUAUUUCUAAAUUGUCUCACAUAAGUCCCUACUAAUAAUUUUCACAUACACUGACCAAAUUGAAGUAUGGAACUAUCACACAAGCAUUUACUCACAUCAUAAACACAGAAUAUAACCUUUAAUUAUUUAUAAGACUCGAUUUCGUGGUCCCGAAACCACUUUUCGACUAGGGUCACUUUAGGGCUGUCACAGAUAUCGCUGCAUGAAUGUUUUCAGAUUGAGCCCAGAAUUGUCGUCGCACCUGACAGCUGUCCAGAUAACAACAAAGAAAUGUGAGCUGUCAAGUCUGGUACAACUAACUUGUACGUACAGAGACAGCAUGUGUCUGAUGAAAUGACACUUGUGCUUUUUGGAUAAAUAUCAAUAUAUUUAUAUGAAGAGAGAAAAAUGAAGAUCAUAUUCUUGAACUUUUCUUUUGAUACUUUUUAGCUAUGGCAACUUAAAUUUCCUACGGGUGAACGCGGGAUGCAGGUUAGCUCUUGACGAGGAGCCCUGAGUGCGACACAAGAAGGAGUUAAGAGAUCAAGGCAAGAAUUUUUGGGAAUAGUGCUCUCCACUUGUUUAUUUUAUAUUUCUUUUCUAAACGGUGGUGAUUACUUUCUAUUUCAUGUUUGUGGAAGUACACAUGAUUUCUAGUUUAAAUGCUAUUUUAUUCAAUCUUGUUUCUACUGUUUAAUCUUUGAAUUUGAAUGUUUUUAACAUGGAAAUGUUAUUACAGUCACUAACACUGGAAAGUGCAGCGACAGUUCAAGCUAACAAGCAUGACAAUGGAAGUUGCUCAAGAAUUAGAGGAAUUUAAUCUGCUUAUUCUUAAUAGUGUUCUAUUGCUAGCAUCGGAAGGUGUGUAAUGUGCAUGUUAAGUCUUAGAUUAAAUAUAGAAGUUAAGCUUGGUAAGAUAUUCAUUGCAGUUUAAUGCAUCGACAAUCACCUAUGCUUUUUACCUUGUGAGCACUUAGUAUUCUGUUGAAUAUUCACGUUAAGGAUCCCAAUUUCUCACUAUUAUAUUUGAUCUUAUUAUUUUCAAGUUAUUGCUUCGAAAACUAUUCAAAAUUUAUCUUAUUUUAUCUAUUUAUUACACUGAUAUUGAUAGACAAAAGACAACCAUCCUCAUGGGAUCAAUAUCCGAUAGACUCAUAUCUGUCUACUAUACUUGCAUUGAGAGUGUACGCUUGCACAUUAGUGCUAUGACGUUAAACAACCGACCAAGUUUUGGCACCGUUUCAUGGGAUAGUGUUUGUUUAAUGUUUAUUUUUGUUUAUUUUUAUUUCAUAAUAUUUAUUUGUUAUAACUUGUUUUCCUUUUUCCAUUAUUUUUCAGAUUUUAUUUUAGCUAUUGAAUGACUCGAAGCAAUUAGGAAUUUAUUGCCGAUUUUGAUCCAGAUAUUGAACGAACCAUUCUGAGGAGACUUCGAGAACAAAGGAAUAUGGCUUUACCAAAAAACAAUGCAGUCUUACCCCCGAUGCAGACCAAAAUGCUAAGGACCCAUCAUUCCAGUAAGAUGCUCAAUUACAAAACAGUCAUAUACAAGAUUUUGUAGCACCUAUCUUAGAUGACUUACAACCGGGAGUUGUUAGGCCAGCAAUUCAAGCUGGGAAUUUUGAACUCAAACCAGCAAAGUUCCAAAUGUUGAAUUCUAAUAGGCAAUUUGUUGGAUUGCCACAUGAAGAUACACGAGAACAUCUAAAAUCAAUUUUAUUGAUUUGUGCUUUCUUUAGUCAACAAGGCAUUCCUGAUGAUGCUUUGAAGAUGCAGUUAUUUCCUUAUUCCUUGCAAGGAAAAGCUUGUACUUGGUUUCUUGGGUUACCUACCGAAUCAAUUACUUCUUGGAAUGCACUAGCAACAUAUUUUGUUUUGCAAUUUAACCCACUGACAAUGAAUGUUCGUCUCCGAAAUAAUAUUAUAGCUUAUCAUCAGCUGGAUGACAAAAUUCUUCACACCACAUGGGAAUGUUAUAAAUCUUUGCUUCGACAUUGCCUCAUGCAUGACAUUCAAUACGAAACACAAAUUGAGAUUGUAACGCCCCAAAAUUUGAUAAAUUUGUUUCUAUAAAUAAUUGACACACAAGUGUGUAUCUGCUUUAGUGUUUAAGUGUUCUGGGUGUAUGCGAGAGGUUCCAAGUUCAAAUUUUGGCUUUUUCUGGAAUUAAGCCUUUACUGCUAGUUCAACAGGCUUAUAUUAAGUUAUUUGGAAUUUCAUAUCAGAAUGAGCCUGCUGGUUUGGUGGUUCAGUGGAGUGUUAGUGUGCUGGGGGUCUUGAGUUCAAAUUUCUGCGUGAGCAAAGGAGAUUAUUUUUGCUCGGUUUGGUGGUUGAGAGUUUGAGUUGUACUGAAAUUCUCAGUAGUAGGUGGUUGAGAUAGUGUAGGUAGUGGGGUUUGGGGAAAUCAGUUCCCAAAUUUUCUCUCCAAGAAAAAAAACAUACAAAAUCUCAUCUCCCCUCUGUUCUCUCCUUUCUUUUUGCCCUUUUCCUAAAUUUUCCUUCCCCUACUGCUGCCCACUCUAUUCUGUUCUUUCAUCAGUGCCUGUUCAGAGAUUCGUUCUUUCAUUUCCGUUAGCUUUCGGUGAGUUUUUUAAAUGUGCUUUUAGUUUCAUUUUCUAAGUGACCGAUGGGAAGUGUAUCUUGUGUUUGACAGCGAGGAAUCGAGCUGAGCGAGACUGUCAUUUCGAGGAAUUCGAGUCAUUAUGCUCGAGUUGGAAGUGUAAGUGUUAAGGCGUCGAUGUGAAUUACUCUCAACAUCAGUUAGUGAAUUGCUAAUUCGAUGUUGUGUAUACUGAUUUUAGGUUUUGGAGUGCUUGGUGUUUGGGUUAGCUUCAAACGAGACCAAGUCUGUACCCGAAACACAGAAAAUGAGAGUUAGCGAAAAGCUGAAAAACCAAUGUGUCGACAACACACGGGCGUAUGGUCGCCUGUGUGGUAGGCCAUGUGAUAGAACAUGGGCAUGUGAUCGACGAGCCAGGCCGUGUGCGCAUGACAUGGUCGUGUGAUGGCCAGGUAGGCCAUGUGCGACAUACGGGCUAAACCGAUUUAGACUGUGUGGGCCACAAGGGUAUGUGGGCCUACAUGGGUAGGCCAUAGGGGUGUGUGAGCCCAUUUUUUGAAAUAUUUUGUAAGGUUGCACGGGUAGCCCUAAUUGACUGUGGAUCUAUUGUAGGGUUGGUAAGCUUUAUUUAGACCCUUGCUUAUGUGAUCUGAUUGUAUGGUGUCUGACUGAGCAUGAUUACUAUACUGAACCGAAUGUAUGUUCUAUUAUUAGCAUAUUUGCAUGUCAUUUAUGGUAUGUUGCAUUACAUCAGGGUGGUUUGAUGAUAUUUGGAGGAAGUAUCUAAAAGGCUCUCAAGCAUGUUAUCUGACUGCUCAGCUGCAAAGCGAGACUGUCAUUUCGAGGAAUUUGAGUCAUUAUGCUGGAGUUGGAAGUGUAAGUGUUGAGGCCUCGAUGUGAAUUACUGUUAACAUCCGUUAGUGAAUUGCUAAAUCAAUGUUGUGUAUACUGAUUUUAGGUUUUGGAGUGCUUAGAGUUCGGGUUAGCUUCAAACAAGACCAGGUUUGUACCCGAAAUGCAGAAAAUGAGAGUUAGCAAAAAGCUGGAAAAUGAAUCUGUUGACACCAUACAGGUGUGUGGUCGCCCGUGUGGUAGGUCGUGUGAUAGAACAUGGGCGUGUGAUCGACGAGCCAAGCCGUGUGCGACAUACGGGCCAAACCGAUUUGGGUUGUGUGGGCCACACAGGCAUGUAGGCCUACACGAGUAAACCAAAUGGGUGUGUGGGAUUUUGGGCCAGGUCGUGUGAUCCAUACGGCCAAGGCCAAACUGGGCCGUGUGGGCCAUAUGGGCGUGUGGGCCUAUACGGGCAGGCCAUAAGGGCGUGUGAGCCUAUUUUCUUGAAAUAUUCUGUAAGGUUGCGCGGGUCACCCUAGUUGACUAUGGACCUAUUGUAGGGUCGGUAAGCUUUACUUAGACCUUUACUUCUGUGAUCUGAUUGUAUGGUGUCUGACUGAGCAUGAUUAUUGUACUGAACCGAAUGUAUGUUCUAUUAUUAGCAUAUUUGCAUGUCAGUUAUGGUAUGUUGUAUUGCAUCAAGGUGGGUUGAUGAUAUUUGGAGGAAGUAUCUAAAAGACUCUCAAGCAUGUUAUCUAGCCUCUCAGCUGCAAACUUCUGAUUAUGUGCCGCAUUCCAGUACAGUAUGGUGUAUGUGUGGGUUGAUUUAAUCCCCACAUGGUGUGUAAGGCUGGACAGAGAUGGUGUGUAAAGGUUGGUGGGUAGGAUUCUGAUUUACAGUAUCUGUAUUUUGUAUCUGAUAUGGGCCAAGGCCCUAAUAUAAUUCUGAGAUGAUAUCUAAAUGGGCUAAGGCCCAAAUUGAUUUUGUAAUGGGCUUAGGCCCGGACUGUGAAUAACUACAUUCUGAUGCAUUUUGUAUGCAUGUUUUUCUGUGGGGAUUACACACUGAGUUUGUGAAAAACUUAUCCUUUCUACUUAAUCUGUACAAGUAGUACCCAAACUUGACGGAUCAGCACAGUGGAGGACUCGACGAUGGCCACACGUGAAUUCUAGACCAUUUUAGUAAAUUUUCAGAAUUUAUUACUUAUUUUGAGUUGAUGUAAUUUUUGGGACUUUGGACUUUAUUGGGAUUUUUAAACUAUUUAUGGAAUUUUAGUCUAAACUUGAUUUUUAAUCAAAAUGACGGCUUUCUUAAAUACGAACAGUUUUCCAAAGAUGAACUUUUUCAAAGCUUUCACUAAAAAGAUAUGAUUUUUGAUAAAAUAAAGAAAAUGUGUUUUACCUUGAACUAGGAUAAAGACUAACUAACUAGAACAAUUUUAACUAGACAAAUUCAUUUUCAACUUUCAUUCCAUGCGACAUCGCCAGAUUCGGCCAUAACGUCUGGGCCGGGUUUGGGGUGUUACAGAGAUUUUCUAUAAUGGGCUGAAUUCACAUACAAGGAAUCUUGUCGACGCAUCAGCCAAUGGUCCUUUGCUGGAUUGUACUUAUAAUGAUGCUAUUGGAAUUCUUAAGAGAAUUGCUCAGAAUGAUAAUCAAUAUCCUAUCCCUAGAGGCACACAAGAAAAAGCUACUUCGAGAGUUAUUGAAUUGGACGCAAUAUCUGCACUUAGUGCUCAAGUUUCUUCUCUUGAAAAUAUGAUAAAAAAAUAUGCAAGGGACUAGUGACGUUGUGCCUAUACAAGUCACUCAAUAAGUUGAUAUUUCGACCUUUUGUUGUGAGAUUUUUAGUGACAACCAUAACUUCGAAUAUUGUCCACAACAUGCAGGAAAUGCCUUUUAUGUCAGUAACAUCCGCAACAAUUCUUAUAGCACCUUUUAUAAUAAUUCUGCACACAAUCAAUAGUCUUGGGGAACUUAGAAUGCUGGACAAAAUGCUGUGCCAUUUCAAUAUGGGAAUAUAUCUUCUCAGGCUAGUUAUAAUCCAAGGCAAGGGAAUUACAAUCAACAACAAUAGAACUACAAUUAACACCUUUCGGUGCAUACACAACAAGGCUAGAUGACACACCAGAAUCAGAUGCUGCCACCACCCUCUUGAAUGCCAAAUCAGCAUGGUCAAGAACAUCGACGACAACAGUACAUACAUGAUUCUCCUUUUGACCUGUUAGCAUCUCUUGAAGCUUUAAUGCGGGAGCAUAUGACUCGCACAGAAGCUAUUGUACAAGGGAAUUCAUCUUUUCUUCGGGCGUUGGAGGCACAAUUGGGACAACUUACUUCGAAUCUAAAUACUUGACCUCAGGGUACACUACCUAGUGACACGGACAAUCCUAGUCCGAGAGGGAAAGAACAUUGUAAGGUUAUCAUUCUUAGGAGUGGUAAACAAACUGGUAAGCCGACUACAAACUUUGUUGUAGCACCUCAAGAUACUGGUGAAGUGAUCCCUGGUAAGAAUGUUGAAUCUAAAGAGCUUGUCAAUGUACCAGACAAAGAAGUUCCACAAAUUGUCACUCAUAUGCCUCAUUUUCGACCCUCGAAACUAUUAAUGUAAUGAAGGGUGUUGGCGUAAUCAGAUGUAUCUAUACCUUCACCUUUCCUACAAAGAUUCAGGGAGAAUGAACAUAACAAGCAGUACCAACAGUUUCUAAACACACUGAAGCAACUUUAUGUCAAUAUUCCUUUAGUAGACGCUCUUGUGCAAAUUCUGAAUUAUGGGAAAUUUAUGAAGGAGCUCUUGUCCAAGAAAAAGAAGCUCAGUGAUAUGGAAACUAUUGCACUCACAAAGGGCUGUGGUGCUAUUUUGACAAAUAAGUUGCCCCUCAAAAAUGAAAGAUCGUAGGAGCUUUACUAUCCCAUGUUCCAUUGGCAACCAUUAUUUGGGCAAGGCCUUAUGCGACUUGGGAACUAGCAUCAACUUAAUGCCAUUAUCUACUUUCAGAAAGUUGGGAAUUGGUCACAUGAAACCUACUGUAGUGACAUUGCAACUAACUGAUCGAUCCUUGGCUCAACUAGUAGGGCAAAUUAAAAAUGUUUUAGUUCGCGUGGAUAAAUUCAUUUUUCCGGCUGAUUGUAUCAUACUUGACUGCGAGGAAGACAAGUAGGUUAGCAUAAUCUUGGGAUGACCAUUUUUAGCCACCAAAUGAACUCUUAUUGAUGUUUACAAAGGUGAACUGACCAUGCGACUUAACGAUGAGCACGUUACCUUCAGUGUUUUUGAAUCUAUUCAAUGUAAGGACAAAGAAGAUUGCCAUACUGUCAAGGUGUUAGAUGAUUUAAUUGCGAAAGAAUUCAACGACCAAAGCACAAUACUUUCUGAGGAGGUUGCAGUGACAUCUAAUGAUGAAUUUGUAGAUGAUUGUGACAGCAUGGUUGUAACACCCCUUACCCGUAUCCGACGCAGGACAGGGUACGAGGCAUUACCGAAUAUAAACACAAGCAUUCAUAUAAAACCGAGACAUGGAUUUCAGUCUAAAUUUAAAACUUUUCAUUCACAUGCAAAUCAUCCCUUAUAUGGGUCCUCGAGGCCCAAAACAUACAUUGGGUGUUGUUUGGGACUGAAUCGAGAAAUUUCAGAACUUUCAUAUCUCUUAGAAAUUUUUCCUCAAAAUAGGAGUCACACGCUCGUGUAGGUAAGCCAUGUGGUCACACACGCCCGUGUGGCUUGGGACACGCCUGUAUCCUCAGCCCAUGUAACUCUCUAUUUAUGACGUCAUCAAUCAAAAUAGGAUCACACGACCAAGUCACACCCCCGUAUGCUAAGGCCAUGUCCUUCAUACGGCUGAGACACACAGUUGUGUCUCUGCCCGUGUGUUUGCUACUGGGCAUUUUGUUUUACCUAAUUAGGGUGCAGGGGACACACGGCCGAAACACACGCCCAUGGGCAGACCGUGUGUCACACAAGGCUUAGACACAUGCCAGUGUGUCUACCCGUAUGGACAACUUUGAGGCUAUUUUUCAAGCCAAUUGCCACCCUUAUUUUCUCAAACACAUACAUGACUUCAAAAGCACUUAACAUUGCAUAAUUAAGCAAUUAAACAUACAUAAAAAAAACCUAAUCAUGAUCAUUUCAUCUUUACUAAUACAUGCAUAAGACUUCAUGCUUUGUCAAACCAAAAUUAUAAAUUUGCAUGCACUAAGAGUUGUAGUUUAUUUCUAUCUAACAUACUCAUGUCUUAGAUGCCAUAAUGUCAUUUAUUCACAAUUCCAUCAUCAAACACCCAUAGUCACAACACAUUUGCACAGGCACAUGCAUGCAUAUAUGAGUAGGUUUACAACCCAAUACACAAUAUGAGCCAUAUCUCAUGGCCAUAUACAAAAUGAAUCACUAAAUCAUUAUAAGCCAACAUGCUUGGGCAAAUUAAUAAUGACAUAAUUAAUCAAUAGACAAAGUCCCUAUACAUGACAUAAAUUUAAAACACUUGUGUUCACUUAUACCCAAAUGAUAGCUUGAUAGUGUGAUGGCGUCUCCGGCAGUCUCCAACCCGAGCUAGCUAAAUUAACCUAUAAGGGAUAGGAAAGGAAGGGGAGUAAGCUUCAAAGCUUAGUAAGUUCAUAUGUAAAUAAUAAACAACUAUUAACAUUCAUUUAUUUUACCCAUUCAUAAGAAUGUUAUUAAUACAAUUUGCAUUAAAUCUCAUGAUUACCACUUACUCAUUCAUGAUGCUUACUCUUUAAAUUACAAACACUAGUUGCAUGUCUUGGAAUUAGACUAACGACCAUGAUCUCCUCAUUAUAGCAUAUCACGUUAUUUAACAAGUUAUUUCAACUAUCUUAACAACAUGCACAUCAUUUAUGAGUAAUCAUAAUUUCCACAUAGCUUAACAAUCUUUCACACAUCUAUUGAAUCACAGCUUAAGUAUAUACAUCGUACUACUUUACAAUUCGAUCAAGCUCAUAUGCCUAUCACAUGAUUAUUAUCAAAUUUUAUCAUGUAUCCAUUCAUCAUAAAUGCAGAUCAUUUGUUACAAGGUUAUCAAUGUUUCACAAGCAUAACUUGUUCGUGUACAUACCUGUACCUCACAUAAUAUAGUCACAUGCUUUCUCGUAUGCAUCCUUACCAUAUUUUCAUAGUAUACCGAAUCCUUUACUCAUGAGUUAUAAGUACAAACCUUUACUAACUUGUAGCACAUUCUCAUAUUUCCUUGUCAUUGACUUACUUGUCAAAUAACUCACUGAUUUACCCGUUGAACACUUGGAAUACUAUUGGAUACACGGAAAGCUCGCACAUAAGUGCCACAUUCAUAGCUAAAGCUACCUCAUAUCACAUAUCACAUGUUGCUCACUUUCAAGCUACUCACUGGCCUACUCACUUGAGCUGUCAGCUAGGGUGUAGCUACACGGGCUGCUCAUGCAAGUUGUUAGGUAUCUGCAACGCAUGCCGGACUACUCAGCCACCGGUAGAACAAACAAAACCAGCACCCAGACCGCCAUAACAUGUGUCACAUAUAUCAUGAACUCAGACCACAACUCAUGAGCUCAGAUCACAUAGUUCCUAGUGACAUGUCACUUGUAUCCUAAACUAUUCCUAAGGUUCAAACGGGAUUUUCUCAAUGUCACAUCCUUGCCGAACUCAUUUACCAUGUCAUUCUCAUAGUGCAUAACAUCGUUCAUACACUCAUCAUAACCAUUUAAAGAUAGAAAAUUGUACAUUAAUAAAGCAUUAAACAUAUGAUCAUAAUAUUUCAUUUUAUACACAUGAACUUACCUCGACACCAAAAUGGCAAAAUGGGACCUAACCGUUAAUUUCUCAUUUUUCUCUUGUUCUAGGUCCAAACCUUGUUUUCUUUGAUCUAUAAUAUCACAUAUAGUCUAUUUAUUAGUCACAUUAGUCAAUGUGAUCCAAAAAUCAUACUAUGUAAAAAUUAUAUUUUUGCCCCUAAACUUUGUCAUAUUUACACUUUUGCCCCUAAGCUCGUAAAAUGAUUUUUAUUCAAUUUUUUGCACUUUAAGCCUACCCGAAUCAUUUUCAUAACUAUAGCAGCCUACAAUUUCCACUAAAUCACACUUUUAUGUCAAAUUUUAUAACUUUUACAAAUUAGUCCUUUUUAGCGUUUUCACCGAAAACUACUUAAUAAAAGUUGUUUAACACACAAAAAAUAUUCAUAUUCCUCCCUUAAACAUAAAAAUACACAUAUGUAACACAUGGGUAAAUUUUUAAACAUCAAUCCUAGCUCAAAUAAAUGGUAGAAAUAGAUAGAUCUUAUUACGAGGAUUUUAAAAAUGUAAAAAUCAUUAAAAACGGGGUAAGAACAGACUUACAAUGGAGCUUGGAAAGCUUGAACAAAACCCUAACCAACGGUGGUCUUCAAAAUUUCGGCCAAGGGGUUGAAGAUAACCAAAAUUUGACUUUUAUUUUGUUUAUUUAAUCAUUUAAUUACUAAAUGACCAAAAUACCCCUAACUUAUAAACAUUCUAUUUCACCUAUUUCAUGUCCAUUUUUGUCCAAAAAAUUAACCAAUGGUAUAAUUACCAUUUAAGGACCUUAAAUUUAAAAUUUCAUAGCAAAUUGACACCUCUAGCUUCUGGAACUUAAGUUUUGUACUUUUUAUAAUUUAGUCCUUUUGACUAAAUAGAGUGCCCAAAUGUCAAAAAUUUUGAAUGAGAUUUUCAUGAAAUCAUUACUUUAAGUUGUAUACUAUAAAAAUAUAAUAAAACUAAAUUUUCUUACGUCAAAUUUGUGGCCCCGAAACCAUUGUUCUGACUAAACCCAAAAUCUGGCUGUUACAAUGGUUGAAGUGAAAAAUAUUAAAGUUAAGCAUGGAUGGCAGAUCGAAUCCUCAGACUUAGCCAACAGAAAAACUCCAAUUUUCAAUCCAUAUAUUAAUGAAGCUUCUACUCUGGAAUUGAAACCGUUACCUACUUAUCUUAAAUACGUCUUUCUUGGUGAUAACAAUACUUUCCCAGUUAUUGUCUCUGUAACAUUGGAUGUCACUCAAGAAGAGAAAUUGGUUGAUAUUCUUAAGCAACAUAAAUGAGCUAUCACUUGGAGUAUUGUCGAUAUCCGAGGCAUUAGUCCUUCUUUUUGCAUGCACAAGAUCAAUAUGGAUGAUGAAGACAAGCAAUCCAUUGAGCAACAAAGAAGAUGAAACGAGAAGAUGAAGGAAGUUGUUAAGAACAAACUUAUAAAAUGGCUUGAUGCUAGAAUUAUUUAUCCUAUUUCUGAUAAAAAUUGGGUAAGUCUAGUGUAAUGCGUUCUUAAAAAAAGUGGCAUCACUAUGGUUAUCAACGAUAAAGAUGAAUUAAUUCCUACACGCCUUCCUACAAGAUGGCGAGUCUGUAUGGAUUAUUGCAAACUUAAUGCUGCCAUAAGGAAGGACCACUUGCCACUUCCUUUCAUUAACCAAAUGUUGGAUAGGAUUACUGGAAAAACCUAUUACUAUUUCUUAGAUGGCUAUUCUAGAUAUAAUAAAAUUGCGAUUGCACCGGAGGAUCAAGAGAAAACAACUUUUACUUGUCCUUUUGGUAUUUUUGCUUUUUGUCGUAUGACUUUUGGUCUUUGCAAUACGCCAACCACAUUUUAAAGGUUCAUGAUGGAAAUAUUCUCGGAUAUGAUUGAAGAUUCUUUAGAGGUUUUUAUGGAUGAUUUCUCAGUCUAUGGGAAUGAUUUUGAUCAUUGCACUGACAAUUUGGAUAAAGAAUUGUAACGAUGUGAAGACACACAUCUUGUUUUAAAUUGGGAAAAAUGUCAUUUCAUGACAACUAAAGGCAUUGUGUUAGGCCAUCGUAUCUCUCGUUAAGGCAUUGAAGUAGACAAAGCUAAAGUGGAAAUCAUUAAGAAAUUACCUCCACCGACAAAUGUGAAAGGUAUUCACAGUUUUCUUGGGCAUGCGGGUUUUUACCAAAGAUUUAUUAAAGAUUUCUCAAAAAUUGCAAAGCCCAUAUGCUUAUUGCUAGAACAGAAUCAAAAAUUAUUCUUUAACGAUGUAUGUCUAGAUGCAUUCAUUCAAUUAAAAAAGAAGCUAGUAAAUGCACCUAUUGGUGUUGCACUAGAUUGGUCUCAACCUUUCAAAGUUAUGUGCGAUGAAAGCAACUUUGCUGUGGAUGCUGUUCUAGGACAAUGUAAGGGAAAAAUAUUCCACGCCAUUUGUUAUGCUGGCAAAACUCUUACAGAGGCUCAAAGCAAUUAUUCCUCUACAGAAAAAGAAUUGUUAGCUGUAGUCUUUGCUUUCGACAAGAUCCAUUCUUAUCUUGUCGGUGCAAAGGUUACUCUAUUUACUAAUCACUCAAUGUUGAGAUAUAUUUUUGCGAAGAAGUAUACAAAAUCAAGAUUGAUAUGCUGGAUCUUACUAUUGCAAGAAUUUGACAUCAAGAUAAAAGACCACAAGGUUUCAGAAAAUCAAGUUGUAGACCAUCUAUCUCGAUUGGAAAUUGGCAGCGAAGAUGGAAACAUACUUCAAAUUGUCAACGCAUUCCCAGAUGAGAAGUUACUUACUGUAGCUGCAACAUCUUGGUAUGAGAAUUUGGUUAAUUAUCUAGUGUGUGGAAAAUUCCCAUUAGGUGUCCCAGGCAAUAGCAAAGAAAGAUUUUUUCAUGAAGUAGAGAAGUAUCAUUGGAAUAAACCAUAUUUAUUCAAGGUAUGCAAUGAAAACAUUAUUUGGCUUUGUGUUCCGGAAGAGGAGAUGCUUUCAAUCUUGAAGCACUAUCAUGAUGCUCCUUAUGGCGGUCAUUUCGGUAGCAUGCGAACUGCUAUUAAAAUGCUCUAAUCAGGAUUCUACUGGCCUUCAUUAUUCAUAGACCCCCACAAAUUUGUGCAUCAAUGCGAUAAAUGUUAAGGCACGGGUUCUAUAUCUUAACGCAAUGAAAUGUUACAGCAGCCAAUUAUGGAGGUUGAAUUGCUUGAUGUUUGGGGUAUGGAUUUUAUAGGACCAUUUCCAAGUUCAUUUGAAAAUAUUUAUAUUUUAGUAGCUGUUGACUACGUCUCGAAGUGGGUUGAAGCUGUUGCAGUCCCAAAGGAUGAUGCAAAGACAGUGCUUAAAUUUUUUCACAAGCAUAUACUCACCCGCUUUGGCACACCAAAGGCAUUGAUUAGUGAUCAGGGUACACACUUUCAUUACAACCAAGCGGGAACCACACUGAAGAGAUAUUGGGUUAGUCAUAGAAUGACCACUACUUAUCAUCCGCAAACUAAUGGGCAAGCUGAAGUGUCAAAUCGACAAAUUAAAACCAUACUUGAGAAGGUUGUAAACCCUUCGAGGAAAGAUUGGUCUUCCAGAAUGGAUGACGUUUUAUGGGCAUUGCAGACAUCAUACAAAACUCCAUUAGGGAUGUCACCAUAUCAAUUAGUUUUGGGGAAAGCAUGUCACUUGCCAGUUAAAAUGGAACACAAAGUAAUAUGGGCAAUUAAGCAAGUGAACAUGGACUAUGAAGCUACUGGGAAGAAAAGACUGUUGGAUAUCACUGAACUGGAGGAGAUUAGGAAAAAUGCCUAUGAAAACACUACAAUUGACAAGGAAAAGGCCAAAUGAUGAAAUGAUAGAAUUAUUUUGUAGCGACAAUUUAUAAUGGAUCAGUAAGUUUUAUUAUUCAAUUCUAAACUGAAACUACACCCGGGUAAAUUGCGCUCUCGUUGGUUUGGACCUUUUGAAGUUGUUGAAGUAUUUCCUCAUGGUGCAAUCACAAUUAGAUACUUACAUGAUAGACACCAAUUCAAAGUGAAUGGUCAAUGAUUGAAACAUUAUCUUGGGAAUAUUGAUCAAAAGAAGGCAGAAACCAUUAAAUUGGUCGAACAAUAUUAAUUUUUUCUGCAAUUUAUUACUAGGUAAUUUUAUUUUAUUUUUUCUUCUGUUUGAGUUUUUAUUAUUAUUAUUAUUUUUAAUUUUAUUAUUUCAGAAUAAUUAGGUACCAUUGUCGAUGCACUUGGGCUUUAUUUUCAACGUAGUUCGUACUAUUAUACUGUCACUUCUGACUUAGCAAGAAUGAGGGCAGAUUAGAAAUUUAAGAUCUCAUCGUUUGAUCAAAAGUCACCUAGUCGUCUAGUCUUUCUGAGCGGGCACAAUCCUCAUUGGACGUAAUUAUUCCCACCAGCUUUAUUUCGUUUUAGAAAAUCACGUCUUUCCAUCUUCUUUUUUCAGUCACUGUAAACCCCUCUUCACUGUGCCGACUAUGAAACACCUAAGCAACCAUUUUUGUUCACUUUCUCUUCCUCAAGUUUGUACCUUUACACUUUUAAAUCAUCUUCACUCCACAAAACAAAAAAAAAUAUGGUAAGAAUGAGAGGAUCGGUCAAGAAAGCCACUAAGCCUAUUGAAGAACACUCAUCCUCUGCAAUUUUAGUUCGAGUGUCGGAAUCCUCCAUGCUAAUGACGAGAAAGGAAUAGAUGAUCUUUUUAACGAAAGCGGCCAAGGACCGGUUUCAAAACAACAUCUUAAAGGCAAACUUCCGCCCAGAACAAGGCAUUCUCCUUUCACAAUAACAAGGCUUGGGUAUACAAGUUUCCAGAACCAUCUCUAAGUUGAAGUGGGAAACUUUCUACAUGCAUCCUGGAAGCUAUUCUUUUUCAUUGGUACAUGAGUUUUAUGCUAACCUUUAUGACCAUGAGUUGGAGUUUAUCUUUGUUUGAGAAGAUUUAAUCCAAUGGGAUGCUACAACAAUCAAUGAACUAUACAACACUAAGGUGGAUGUUGAUGAACACUCCAAGUUUAUUGAUGAUGUCAGAGACGACAAAAGGGACCUGCUGGUGAGGGAUUUAUGUGUCGAAGGAGCAUUGUGGACGGGUGCACAUCAAAAGAAUUAUACGAUGCACCAUCACUUCUUAACAUUGCAAAGCAAAAUCUAGUUUCAUUUUGUCAACUGCAGGUUACUGCCAUCAACUCACAGCACCACUGUCAACUUCGAUAGAAUAUGCCUCAUACAUUCUAUUGUCAAGGGUAGAAAGAUUGAUGUUGACGCAAUACUCCACUAGAAAAUUGCUGACAAUGCCGCGAGGCAAAAUGGAAUUUUGGUUUUCCUGUCGUUGGUAAUGCUACUAUGCCAGCAGAAAGGGAUUGUGCCUCAUGAUGAUGAAGAGAUCUUGGAAAAUAAGGGCUCGAUUAAUGAAACAUUCAUUGAAAAAAUGACUUGUGGUAAAGAUACGCCGAAAAUAAAGGAGGCAGAGACUAACAAGACAAGAAAGGGCAAAACCAAAUAAGAAAACAAGGGAACGAACUUGACUACUGAGACAUCAUUGCUGUGUAAAAUGAAGGAUAUCGAGAAGUUGGCCAAUUCCAUCAGCAAUAAGCAGAUCAGGCUUGUCACUACAAUAAAAGAUGUAGACAUAUCACAAAAUUUGUUCUACACUUAUGCCAGGGCAUAUAACAACUGCAUUGUCGCCACAUUACGUCAGUUAAGCCUAACGCCACUAUCAGAAUUUCCAGUGUUCCCACCGAUUAUUCGAGAGUAUGAACCCUCCUCCGAGGAAGAUGACCUAGGGGACUGAGACAGAUCGGUAGAAUCCCCUUCCAUUGUGCACAUCUUUGAUGUUGAGAAAGAAGAAGACUCAAGGGACAUUGAGGAGUGCAUGCGACAGAUGGAUAACCUAGUCGAAGGCAACUUCAUUUCUGGUCAAGAAGCACCUACUGUUAAGAAGGAAGUUGUUGUAGAGGAGGAGGACGUCCGUGUUGACGUUGUUAACGAGAUGACAGAGGAAUAAAAUACUGAGACAGAAGCUACUGAGAAAGAAUCUAUUGAGGAUAUUGCCAAUGCAUCUGAGUUUGUGGGUGCAACUACUGAUAAUCUGGAGCGAGAUGGAGCUAGAUCAGCGGAUGCUAUAGAGUUAACCAGUGAGGAGCACCACAACUCAUUGGGAUAGUGGUCUAUACCAGACCACUCAAGGUGACCCUUUCUAUACAAGAAGUAGCUGAUAAUGCCAAGGUAAUGUCGGAAACUGAGGAGCGAUCCAAGGACCGUGUGAAACCCAAAGAAAAGAAGAGAAAGUGCUUCAAAGACAAAAAAUGCAAGAAAGAGGAGAAAAAGAGGAGGAAGAAGAAACAUCGUGUAGCCACAUUGAUGGCCGAGGAAAAUUGCGUUAGUUUAUUUUAAGUUUUAGUUGUAGUAUUCAUACACUGCAUAUAGUUGUAAUUUUCAUUUUUUUAGUGUACAUUGUCGUUGCAUUUUUAUUGUCAUUGCAUGUUAAUGUUAGUGCAUUGGAGACAAUACAAAUGUAACACCCCUAGUCCGUGUCCGUCGCUGGAUUAGGAUUAUGAGGCAUUACUGAUCAACGGCUCAAUUCCAAACAUUUACAUAAAUAUAUACAUUCAUUCAAGUCGAAUUCAUUAUUAAUGGAAAAUAAAACCAACUUAUGUUUCAAAACAAGUAUUGACAUAUAUCUUGCAUAAACAUUGUUGCAACUAAACUCAACGUAUUGCUUACAACAUCAAAAUAUUUACGUGUAUGAUAUUAUCUAACAUUCACAGGGUCAGACAUACUUCAAAUAUUAGUCAUGUGGUUAUUCAUAUUGUAACUAAUUUACAUACACAUUUAAAAUUUACAAAGUCAUAAAGUAUGUAUAAACCACCUCUUAUGCGACUAAAAAAAAUAGGCAAAAUAAACUUGCACGCUUUAUUCUUUAAUACAAGUGAAUCAAUAAUUAGGCUUCUUAACUAUUAAUCUUUAGUGCUAUUUGCAAUUUAACAUAAGAGCAAGUCCUUAGAAAUCAUGUCUAAUCAUGCAACCAUAUUAUAAAAUUUGAUAAAUAUUCCCAAAUAAAUGUUUAAUAAAAUACACUAUGGCCGAAUAGACCAACAUAUACAUAUAAAUGCAAUCAACCUUAAGGUGGUGGUCACCUUUAGCAUUAAACACAUGAUAGCACAAUUGACCAUUUAUUCACAUGACGCAUGCAAUAUUCAUCACUUGACAAACGAAUCAGUUAACUUGUAAACACUUAUCUAAUAUUUCCUUUCUAAUUCUUCGUGUCUAUCAUCACCAACCCGAGUCAAACAUAUAACACUUAAUAUAUAUAUAAAUUGUAAGCAACCUUCACAUUUAAUAAAACCAACCAUUCAUAUAUUUACAUAUAUAUAUGUAACAUCUAUAAUAUAAUCACUUUAUGCCCUAGUAAAGUAUAAAUAAUUUUUUUAACUAAAUCAAGGUGACCGAAUAUUUCAUACACACAUAUAAUAUAAUCACAUAACUAAACAUAACUCUAUUCAACCUUUAACACAUAAUAUAUUUAUCAAAAGGCUUGGACAAUUAUUCAAUCCCAAACCGAGAUCAACCUAAAAUAUAAAGCCAUUAUCAUUGCACAAAAUACUUGCCACAUACCAAACUAUGAUCAAGCAAUAUAACAUAUGUCAAGCCAAAAUCAUGGAUAGCAAAGCUAAGCACAUGUGAAACCGAAACCAAACAUAAGUAACAAGCCAUUUUCGCAUGGCCUUAGUUACAUAGCCAAAAUCAAUAUCUCAAAAUAUGUUUCAGCCUAUACAUGCUAAGAUAAAAUACAAAAUAUAAAUAAAUUAAAUUAAACCAAACCAAUACAACAGUCCAGUUCUAUAACAGACCCAAACCCAGCUACAUAACCUAAGCCCAAUAACUAAACCUAGACCCAAAUUUAAAACCAAGACCCAAAUACAGGCCCGAUGGCCCAAAAAAAUUUUAGAACAAACAAAACCCUAGGGUUCUCUCUCUCGCGCCGCAGCCAAGCCUUGGCCCUGGCCUACGUACCCUCCAGCAGCCACGCACACGCGCCUCCAUACGCUAGUCCAGACCUGUACCCGAGCGCCAAUGCACUUGUACCUGCGAAAGAGAACAAGAAAAGAGCAGCAGAAUAGCAGCCAAUAGGAGAACAAAAAUUGUUUUUUUUGUGUUAUUCGGCUAUAAAGCCUUUUAUUUUCGAUUGUAAAUGGUUCUUCUUUACGAAUGAAAUAUACACAUGCAUAUUACACACUCGAACGCCACAUAAACACAAAAAUACACAUAAAAAAACAGAAGCAAUAGAAAACAACCGAUUCUUAAAGGUGAUUUUCUGACUGAAAUCUCGGGGGCGUUCUUUUUUUUCGGCUUGAUCUUUUGUUUAUUUUUUAUUUUUACUCGAAGGCAUGAAUAAAAAAGGGAAAAGCGGGAGUUUACCUUGAAAGCACGCCGUAGAUCUCCUCUUGCUUAGUUAAAAUCGAAGUUAAGAGGAGAUUGAAAGGAGAAAAGGUGUUCUCUCCAGUCUAAAUCUGUUGGCUGCUGCCAGGGAAAGGAGAAUCGGCAUUUUCAAAGGGGAUUUAGGGUUUAGAAAAGAAGAAAAUGGAUGGGGUUUCAGCUGAACGGGGUGUUUUGUUGGGGAUUUUAAGGGAGUAAGAAAUGGCACCGUUUAGACCAAUGAUAAUGGUCUCAAACGACACCGUCUAGGCCACCCCCUUUAUGCCUGAUCCAAUUCGUUUCUUCGACCCUCAGGACCCGCGCGCCUUUGCGGUGAAGGGUUAUUUUCCAUAUCAGUCCUUCCCUUUCGCACAGUAUUCAAAUCAGCCCGUAUUCUUGUUUCAUUUUUUUAUUAAUUUAGCCUUGUGAUUUACACUCGUUUGCAAAUGGAUCCGCGCUUAAACGUAGCAUUUGGGAUCUAGUAUAUUGCCAGUUUUAGUCCCUAGCUGUUUUCGUUCAUUGAUUAUUGGUCCUUUUAUUGUUAUUGUUUUAUUUUCAAAUUGUCCCUACUGUUUUAGUUUAAUUCCAGUUAAGUUUUCCUUAUUUUUUU
rnacentral:lncRNA from 1 species